rnacentral:lncRNA from 1 species
UUCAUAAAUCAAUACUAUAUGAUAUCAUAUCUGGUUGUUGUAGUUGUAUCAGUUUCAACUUCACUCUCUUUAAUUUGUCCUUUUGGGUAAGAUUCCACCUAGCUUUCAAUUAGCUGCAACCUAAAAGCAUAAUAUUAUAGGUCAUGGUUUGAUUUUCCCAAUGUAACAAUAAAUCUCAAUCUAAUUACUGGUACUAGAGUCAUGCAUUACUGUUAAUUGUUAAACAAGCAUAUUAUGAAUUUAAACCUGAAUUUAUAUCUGGAUUUUGGUUUUGAAGGAAGGAACUUAUUACACUUACAUCAAGUAUAUUUUACCACUCAGAAGUUCAUUGUAUCAUGAAAUAACGUCCUUACUGAACUAAUUAAAUAUAUGGUUGAUAUCUUAAUUGAUCAGCUAAAAAAAGCUAGGGUUCUGGUACAUCUUUAAAUCAUGAUGAGACCCCAAAAGCCUAAAAUGCAGAUCAAAAACAUUUUGAAACCUUUGAGCUGUGUUUUGAGAAAGGAAUUGUGUACUUAGGAGUCCAACAUUAAGUAGAUAAAAAUGUACAAUGUGAUACUUAAUCAUGAGGCUCCCACCUAAAAUGCAUUACUUCAUACAUCAUCAUAUGCAUCAAGCAGAAAGAAGCAAAUGCAUCUCUUAACUCAAACACAAUUUUAAGUAGCUUCUUUUUUACUUCUUUUCUGAUGUAUAUGGUAGGUGGCAGCUGCACAUGGUAUACCACAUAAUGGAAAUAUUUGAGACUAUAUUGGUGAUCAGGAAAAUGACCUAUUGGUUAGAAAAUUAAAGGCUAUCAAGAACCUUUUAUUUCUUGUUUUAGUUAGAGCUAGUGACAUGAUAGAUGUAAGACAUAUAUGUCAUUAUCUAUUUUAUAGAUUGUGAGUUUUAAAUGCUUACUGUAAUAAUUUUGGUGGUUAGUAGUAAGGGUAGGAGAAGGAAAGAAGAUGGUAUUGUGUUGCAAUACUAAGUCAUUUUCCAUUUAGUUUGUAUAGAUAGAUUAACUGCAUUGUAAAAUAUACAACAUUGAUAAGUGAUUUUGAAUAACCAUUUCCAUGUAAUUUUAUUAAUUUCCAUCUAAUUUAUAUUAAUUAUUCAAAA